GCAGGAUUAAAAGUAAAAUAGCCUGCAUGUAUCAGGGGCCAUUAAAAAAAAAAAAAAAAGUUUAUAUAUUUUUUUUGACAGCAUAAUCCUUUUUUUUAAAACAAUGGUCUUAAUUAACCCUGUCUUUUCCAUGAGAGCUAAAGAAGAUUUGUUCUACACAUGCUGCUUUUAAAAUAAAGGGUGGGAUACCCAUGCAACAAGGGGGUUAAAUUAAUUCAAAAACCUUCCCCUACAGUGGCGAGCUGAUAUUUUAAAUACUGAUUUCAAUAAGAACACAAAAACGUAAUUACGACAUUUUUUUUUUUUUUUUAUAUUGGUAUGCAAAAUAUUUCAUUAAGAAGAUUUAAGGAGCAUAUUUCAACAUUUUAUUAAAAUUAUACCGAUUUGUGGUUUAAAAAAAUAAUAUUGUCAAAAUGCCAGGUUUCUAUUGAAUUUGUAAUAUAUGUAUUCCCUAUUUAUGUCCUGUGAUUCUACAUGAAGUAGGUUAUAAUAACCUACCUACGGAAAUUUAGAGAAGUUUACAAUUGAUUUUUAUUUAAAGUCUGUUUUAUUUUGGGUCUACAGGAAAAAUUACUAUUAUUAUUAUGCCAGGACACAAAAAUGUUCCAUUUGCUUAAUUUCCAUAUAAUUGCACCACAGGAAACAGAAAUAAUUUGUUUUGGGGGGGUGGGUUGCACAGAGUGACAUAUUGUUAGGGAUUGUUAAACUGUAUUCAUCACCCAUUGGUCUGCCUUAGGUAAAAUUACAUAAAUUAAGUAUCUAUAAUUAUACCACAGUAUUACUGAGCUAUCCAAUACACAAUACUGGCAUCAGCAAUUUAGCAUUUUAAAGUUUUGGAAUGAACUCCCAUUAGCCAGAUGCCAUUUAAUAAUGUUAUAUGAUUAAAUGUGUCAAAUCAUAGUUUUCAGAAUUGUUGUUAAAAGCAAAAUUUGUGGUCAGACUAAACAACAGGAUUAACACGGCACAGGGAAGACUCGGGAUUGAAAAUGGCAAAUCUUUAAAGAUCCCACUUGGUCUAAAAUAUUCAAAUCUUGGCAGCUCCUCCCAAAUUGAAAACAAUCAAAACUGGGAAGUCCUUUAGGUAUAAAACCGUAAAAUAUGGGGAAAUCCCAGUAUGUGGUCUUAUUAGCCCAAUAUUUGACUCUAGGCUGGGCCAACACAGUUGAGCCACUCUAUACUCUUCUGCUAGCCAAACUUUAUUUCUCUGUAUUUCCACCCAAUACGUUGACUGCUGCCAGGUCAAACUCUGUUAAUUUAUUUAUCGACUUCCAAGCGAAUUUCCAUUACCAAUGUAAGUUAAACUGCUUUGAAACACAGAUUAAGCCAUAUACACUGAUUAGCCACAUUAAAACCACUGAAAGUUGAAGUGAAUAACAUUGAUUAUAUCAUUACAAUGGCAGCUGUUAAGGGGUAGGAUAUAUUAGGCAGCAAGUGAACAGUCAGUUUUUAAAUUCCAUGUGUUGGUAAAGUUUGCAAGAGAAAAGACCUGAGUGACAGUGACAAGGGCUAAAUAGUUAUGGCUAGAUGACUCUGUCAGAGCAUCUCCAAAAUGCCAAGUCAUGUGGGGUGUUCCUGGUAUGUAGUGGUUAGUACCUACCAAAAGUGGUGCAAAUAAGGAGAACCAGUAAACCGGCGGCAGGGUCAUAAGCCCCCAAGGCUCGUUGAUCAAUGUGGGGAGUGAAGGCUAGCCCAUGUGGUCCAAUCACAUAGUACUGAAUCUCAAAUUGCUGAAAAACUAAAUGCUGGCCAUGAUGGAAAGAUGUUGUGAAGAUGUUGCAAUUUGUUGCCUAUGGGGCUGUAUGGCCGCAGACCGGUUGAGAGUGCCCAUGAUGACCAAUGUUUACUGCCAAAAGUACAUUCAAUUGGGACGUAAGCAUCAGAACAGGACCAUGGAGCAAUUGAAGAAGAUUGCUUGGUCUGAUGAAUCACAUUUUCUUUUGGAUCAGGUGGAUGACUGGGGGUGUGUGUCGUUUACAUGGAGAAAAGAUGGCAGCAGGAUGCAGUAUGGGAAGAAGACAGGUCAGAGAAGGCAGUGUUAUGCUUUAGGUAAUGUCCUGGCAUUCAUGUGGAUGUUACUUUGACAUGUACCCCCUACUUACAGAUUGUUGCAGACCACGUACACCAUGGCGAUGGUGUUCCUUAAUGGCAUUGACCCCAUUCAACAGGAUAAUGCACCCUGUCACACCACAAAAAAUGUUCAGGAAUGGUUUGAAGAGUAUGACAAAGAGUUCAAGGUGUUGCGCUGGCCUCCAAAUUCUCCAGAUUACAAUUAGAUAGAGCAUCUUUGGGAUGUACUGGAACAACAAAUCCAAUCCAUGGUGGCCCCACCUUACAACUUGCAGGAUCUGCUCAUAAAUAUGUCUUGAUGCCAGAUAUCACAGGACACAUUCAGAGGACAUAGUUCACGCCUUGAUGCAUGACAAGUGUUCUGGCAGCAUGAGGGAGACCUACACAAUAUUAGGCAGGUGGUUUUAAUGUUGUGGCUGAUCAGUGUAUGUUUUAAUUUCUGUUAACACAAAUCCCAUGUAUGAGCUUUCUUAGUUUAUAUGUAAUAAAUAUCCAGACAUGUAGAUACAUGUUUGGGUGGUCAGCGCUCCCAUUUAACUAAAAUAUACAUAAUUUUAAUUAAUGGACAAUAUUAAUUUUCUAUAUGAUUUCCAUAUUAAAUAAAAGGAUUGGUCAAGCCUGCAACAUGUCUUCACAAAUGUCUCCACUAAACACAGGAUCCUGGUCUUAAUAUUUAUUUCUGACAAUAUCGAUUAAAACAAUGCAUUUUAAAAUUGGAAACUAUUUAAAACAAAUACCAGGCAUUUUUAUGACAUGUAUGCCUCUUUACAAGUCAGCUGUGCUCAUAAUGUGUAUAUAAGCAGAUUUCAGUAUCUUUAUUUUAUUUUAGUCGUUUUCUGCCCACAAACCAAGUUGGAGACAGAAGAAGUGACUAAAGUGGUCUUUCUAACCCCAAAACAUCAUUUCAACCAAGUUGAUUUAAUAGCUGGAGUCCCUGGGGUCCAUCUUACCUUAAGAUGUUCUAUUGUUUUUUUAUUUUCUCUGAUUGGGCGCAGGUGACUGACUGAGAAUGUCAGCUGAUGCAGGACGUACUGUUACUUGCUGAUUCAGGACAUACUCGCUAAUCCAAUACUUACUGUAUUCGUUAUGGGCAGCCAGGGAUAGGCAGAGAAUGUUGGCUGUUUCUCUCAGCCAAUCAUUGACACCAAAUGUUUCCUCUGCUCAGUACAGUAGCCAAGCAGAGAAGUAAAAUAUUAAGCACUGGCACUUGGGGAGCAUCUUCUGUGUUAAACUAUUUCAAAACCAUUAAACCACUUUAAAGGAACACUCAGACCUCUUAAGCACUUUAGCUUGCCGAAAUGCUUUACAUGUGAAGAGUGUGUCCUCGUGUUUAAAGAUAUUUUGCAAAAAGCGAUCAUCCAAUAGUAAGUUUGAUAAAUUGCCCCUUCCGGCUUACAAGAAGACAACAGUCCUGUUACUUUCUGGUUUGUUUAGCGCAGUGGAGCUAAACUCAAGAGGCAGCAAUUGCCCAAAGCACUUGCAGGGUUAAGGGUAGUGGGAGUUGGCACCCAGACCACUUCAAUGGGCAGAAGUGUUCUUGGUGCCUGGAGUGUCCCUUAGUAAGAUGGCUGCCAGGGACGCCAGCUCUCAGAACAAUUUCACUGAGACGAAGUUGCUUUAAGGGGUAGAAAUAAAUUAAAUUUGAACUUUCAUGAAAGAUUAUCUUGUGUUAAUAUAUUAAUAUAUGCUACUUUGCAAAAUCCUAAAAUCCUUAAACCUUUAGCCUUAAAGCUAUUAGGCUUUUAUUCAUUCAUUGAACCAUUCUUGAAGGCAUCUCUCUUAGUGCAAGUCAGUCACAGGGCAUAUUAGGCUGCUGUCACUGGUCCACACAGUUAGAGAGACCUUCUGCUGCCCGUAGAAUACUCAGUGAGCACAGCAGCUCCCACUGGUGGGAGGACCAACAAACACUAAUUUAUUAUUAUUACUAAAGCCUACAGUCAGCACAUUACAAAAAAGCAUAGAUUAAUAUAUGUUACUACAUCGUGAAAAACAAAUGUUAUGGGGUAAGCUUUCCUGAAAGUUUUAUGAAUGUUCGAUUAUCAGGACACCCCUGUUAGAGGCCAUCAUAAGAAUUAUUUGGAAAACCAUCUGGAGAUAUAUAAUAAAUUUAAUAAACACAGAGAUGGGGGCUUAAGAUAAUAUAAUUGAGGGGAAGGUCUAAUGCUAAAUAUAAUUUGAAAUGAUACUGUCACUGAGUUAUCUUGUUCCUAGUUUUCUCAAGGCAUCCUAC